rnacentral:rRNA from 1 species
UUGUCCCGUGACUGCGUACCUUUUGUAUAAUGGGUCAGCGACUUACAUUCAGUGGCAAGCUUAACCGAGUAGGGGAGGCGUAGCGAAAGCGAGUCCGAAUAGGGCGAUUCAGUCGCUGGGUGUAGACCCGAAACCAGGCGAUCUAUCCAUGGUCAGGUUGAAGGUAAGGUAACACUUACUGGAGGACCGAACCCACUAAUGUUGAAAAAUUAGGGGAUGAACUGUGGAUCGGAGUGAAAGGCUAAACAAGCUUGGAGAUAGCUGGUUCUCUUCGAAAACUAUUUAGGUAGUGCCUCGUAUAUUACUGUCGGGGGUAGAGCACUGUUAUGGCUAGGGGGUCACAGCGACUUACCAAACCAUGGCAAACUCCGAAUACCGACAAGUACAGUACGGGAGACAGACAUCGGGUGCUAACGUCCGGUGUCAAGAGGGAAACAACCCAGACCGCCAGCUAAGGUCCCUAAAACGGGCUAAGUGGGAAACGAAGUGGGAAGGCAUAGACAGUCAGGAGGUUGGCUUAGAAGCAGCCACCCUUUAAAGAAAGCGUAAUAGCUCACUGAUCGAGUCGUCCUGCGCGGAAGAUGUAACGGGGCUAAGCCAGUUACCGAAGCUGCGGACGUGAAUUUAUUCACGUGGUAGGAGAGCGUUCUGUAAGCCUGUGAAGGUGUGUCGAGAGGCAUGCUGGAGGUAUCAGAAGUGAGAAUGCUGACAUGAGUAGCGAUAAAGGGAGUGAAAAGCUCCCUCGCCGUAAGUCCAAGGUUUCCUGCGCAACGUUCAUCGGCGCAGGGUGAGUCGGCCCCUAAGGCGAGGCAGAGAUGCGUAGCUGAUGGGAAGCGGGUUAAUAUUCCCGCACCAUUGUAAAGUGCGAUGGGGGGACGGAUGACGGAAGGUCAUCGAGGUGUUGGAUUACCUCGUUGAGGCAUCAUAGAAGGCGCUUAGGCAAAUCCGGGCGCGUAAUUCAAGGGUGUCGCUGAAUGGGUCUACGGACCCAAACUGAUUGAAAGUUGUCCCAAGAAAAGCCUCUAAGCUUCAGCUUUACAAGACCGUACCGCAAACCGACACAGGUGGACGGGAUGAAUAUUCCAAGGCGCUUGAGAGAACUCAGGAGAAGGAACUCGGCAAAUUGAUACCGUAACUUCGGGAGAAGGUAUGCCCUGGUAGUGUGAUGCGCNNNNNNNNNNNNNNNNNNNNNNNNNNNNNNNNNNNNNNNNNNNNNNNNNNNNNNNNNNNNNNNNNNNNNNNNNNNNNNNNNNNNNNNNNNNNNNNNACAAAGCAUGAAGGGGCCGCAGUGAAUCGGUGGCUGCGACUGUUUAUUAAAAACACAGCACUCUGCAAACACGAAAGUGGACGUAUAGGGUGUGACGCCUGCCCGGUGCCGGAAGGUUAAGUGAUGGGGUGCAAGCUCUUGAUCGAAGCCCCGGUAAACGGCGGCCGUAACUAUAACGGUCCUAAGGUAGCGAAAUUCCUUGUCGGGUAAGUUCCGACCUGCACGAAUGGCGUAACGAUGGCCACACUGUCUCCUCCUGAGACUCAGCGAAGUUGACGUGGUUGUGAAGAUGCAAUCUACCCGCGGCUAGACGGAAAGACCCCAUGAACCUUUACUGUAGCUUUGCAUUGGAUCGUGAACCGGCCUGUGUAGGAUAGGUGGGAGGCACUGAAGCGUGGACGCUAGUCUGCGUGGAGCCAACCUUGAAAUACCACCCUGGUCUGUUUAUGGUUCUAACCUAGGUCCGUUAUCCGGAUCGGGGACCGUGCAUGGUGGGCAGUUUGACUGGGGCGGUCUCCUCCUAAAGUGUAACGGAGGAGUUCGAAGGUACGCUAGAGACGGUCGGAAAUCGUCUUGAUAGUGCAAUGGCAUAAGCGUGCUUAACUGUGAGACUGACACGUCGAACAGGUACGAAAGUAGGACAUAGUGAUCCGGUGGUUCUGUAUGGAAGGGCCAUCGCUCAACGGAUAAAAGGUACUCUGGGGAUAACAGGCUGAUACCGCCCAAGAGUUCAUAUCGACGGCGGUGUUUGGCACCUCGAUGUCGACUCAUCUCAUCCUGGGGCUGUAGCCGGUCCCAAGGGUAUGGCUGUUCGCCAUUUAAAGAGGUACGUGAGUUGGGUUUAAAACGUCGUGAGACAGUUUGGUCCCUAUCUGCCGUGGGCGUUGGAUACUUGACGGAGCCUGCUCCUAGUACGAGAGGACCGGAGUGGACGUACCGCUGGUGUAUCGGUUGUCAUGCCAAUGGCAUCGCCGAGUAGCUAAGUACGGAAGAGAUAACCGCUGAAGGCAUCUAAGCGGGAAACUCGUCUGAAGAUUAGGUAUCCCGGGGGCUUGACCCCCCUGAAGGGUCGUUCGAGACCAGGACGUUGAUAGGCUGGGUGUGGAAGUGCAGUAAUGCACGUAGCUAACCAGUACUAAUUGCCCGUGCGGCUUGAUCCU